rnacentral:lncRNA from 1 species
GAACGCUCGACGACUGAUGCGGAAGAAGCAGCUUGCCUCGUUUCGCAGGGGCCAUCAAAGGAAAUCGUGAAGCUCACAGGCGCCCGGAAACUCGCCGACCUCCACGAAAGCCUGCGGACGGGAGGGUUCGUGUACCUGAUGACAGGCAACGAUCUUCUAAUACAGAUCUUCCAAUGACCGGUUCCAGUGCUACGUCGACAUGGGUGAAAGCACGACAGUGUGUGAUGGAGCAUUGAUUAACUUGGUUGUCUCCCCAAGCCACCCCGAAGCAUCAGAGGCACCAAAAAAGCCGCUGUCUGUUAGUGCAGUUCGACAUGUGGAGAAUGCAGUCAAAGGACAGUACAAGGAAUUGUCAGCGUACACACUGCCUCCGAUGCCCAUUGACAU